UAUCGAGAGAUAGGUUGGAGAACUCAGAAGUGACCAUGUUGGUAUGAGUAAUGAUAAAAAAUGUUCAAAUCAUUUUCGCCGCAAACCUGAGGUUUUCGUUGUUCAAGUUCGACUGACACGAGUGAAACGGUCCCUAAGGAAAAAGCGAAAGCUUACUCUAAUGGGAAAAAGAUCAUUUCUUGUUAAAUGUUUAUGACAAACGUAAUAAGUGGCGGGUUUUGCUGUUUYGAAUGAUAUGACCCAAAAMAAACUGCGUUUCAAGAAAAAGUAAAGAUUUUAAAACCGUACUAUAAACCGACACAGGUGGGUGGGUUGAGUAAACUAAGGCGAGAGAGAGAAUCAUGUUGAAGGAACUCGGCAAAAUGACUCUGUAACUUCGGGAGAAAGAGUACCGGUAACCAAUCCGGUGGCACAGAAUCGGGGGGGGCGACUGUUUAGUAAAAACACAAGACUCUGCGAAAUCGUAAGAUGAUGUAUAGGGUCUGACACCUGCCCGGUGCUGGUAGGCUAAAAAGAAAUGUAUGAUGCAUUGAAUAUAACCCCCAGUAAACGGCGGCUGUAACUCUGACGGUCCUAAGGUAGCGAAAUUCCUUGUCGGGUAAGUUCCGACCUGCAUGAAUGGUGUAACGACUUCCCCACUGUCUCCAACAUGAACUCUAUGAAAAUGAAUGAUCCGUGAAGAUGCGGAUAUCCUACAGCUAGACGAAAAGACCCCGUGAACCUUUACUGCACAUUUACAUUGUACAUAAAAAGAAGAAGCGUAGUUUAGAUGGUUGUCAUUGAAACUUUGGCUUUGGCCACUCGUCGAGACACAAGUGAAAGACCAUCCUUCAUUCUUUUUAUCGCUUACUCAUGAUUCAGACAAGAAAUUCGAAGAAUUCUGUCUUCGAGGACCGUGUAAAUUUGGUAGUUUGACUGGGGCGGUCGCCUCCUAAAACGUAACGGAGGCGUGCGAAGGUAAGUUCAAACUGUAUAAAUCAGUUGUUGAGUGCAAUGAUAUAUACUUGCCUGACUGUUAGAUAGACAUAUCGCGCAGAGACGUAAGUCGGCCAUAGUGAUCAGGUAGUUUUUUGCGGAAAAACUAUCGCUUAACGGAUAAAAGGUACUCCGGGGAUAACAGGCUGAUGAUUUCCAAGAGUCCGUAUCGACGAAAUCGUUUGGCACCUCGAUGUCGACUCAUCACAUCCUGGAGCUGAAAAAGGUUCCAAGGGUUCGGCUGUUCGCCGAUGAAAGUGGUACGUGAGUUGGGUUUAGAACGUCGUGAGACAGUUUGGUCUCUAUCUACUGUAGGCAGCAGAAAAUUGAAAGAAUCUAACCCUAGUACGAGAGGACCGGGAAGGGUUAACCUCUGGUGUAUUGGCUGUUAAAUCAAAAGCAGCGCCAAGUAGCUACGUUAAUAAGGGAUAAUUGCUGAAAGCAUCUAAGCAAGAAAC
rnacentral:rRNA from 1 species